CAGAUUCAAGGUAGUCUCUGGGUCUUCCUCUGUGAACCCCUACUGAUUUGCUUAUUUUUCAGAAGUUUAUGGAUUAGUGAACAAAAUUCCCUUAAAGCAAUUUAGUGGAACAGAAUAGUAAAAACAUGUCCUUUAUCUCCUCACCCCAAAUCCCCCACAUAAACUCUGGGCACAUUCUUUCCCAGCUGUAUAAACCAUCAGUGAGGAGAAUAGGUGCUCAUAGGAAUCAAUCAGGAAAGGCAGGCACAUUGGAAUUAUGAAAAAAAUUCAGCAAACAUUCAUGGCAGGGCAACUCAUAACUCAAUUCAGCAGGACCACUGUGGUCUUUGGUGAUAUCACUCUGCUCUCACUUGUCCUGCACUCCUUGUGGGGUGUGUCUUCUGGUGACUGCUGGGUCUAGUCUGUGACCUAAGCAGUGCUGGGUGUGGCUCCCCUGCUCUUUGAUGACUGGGCAUAGUCUUCAUUGGCAAUUGCUCCUUCCACUCUGCUAAAGCAUGGAAGGUGGAACUCCCUAAUUAGCUUAGGCCCUCUGCUCUUUAGUCAUAAAUAACCUCCACACUCAGCUACCAAAAAGGCAGGUAGAAGAUGGUCAAAACAAAAGUCUUUCCUGCCAUUAUUUCUGCAGGGAGAUUGCAGUAUUCUGUUUGAUAUUACUAUCUAACUUAGGGUUAGCCAUUCCCAAGAUCCUUUCUGGCUUAGCAUGCGAAUGAAUUUGAGCUAGAACAGAAGGUAAGAGGGGCACAGCGUGGAGAGAAUGAACAACAGAGCCAUGGCCACAGAGGGAUUUGGAUCAGGGGAAAGGCUGACUGAGAGAUAAGGGGUGGUGCACUGGACAAUCCAACAGCCAGUGCAAUGCUGCUGAGAGAAGAGGCCAUCCAUGCUCCAAAAGGCUCAACCAAGCUUCUACAUGAGUGUCGAGACAGGCUUCAGGAGACAGGCACCCUCGGGUGAUCACCCUGGGACAGCUCAAGGAUGGUAGUUGUCCCAUGAAGGCAGCCCAGAACAGGAGAUAGAUAGAGGGAAUAGGAUGGAAUGGCAUCUUUCUUCAAACUCCCAAAAGUCAGGAAGAGUCCAGGACUGCUCCAGGACUUCUCCUUUGGACUUCUUUGGAGAACUGCUCCUUGGGACUUCUGGCUUGAAGAGAUUCCUGCCUUGGUGGCUCUGCAAGGAGACCCUCUCUGCUUGUUGGCAAACUGGUGGGAUACUUCCUUCAGCAUGAGUUCUAUGGAGAGAUUCUUGUCCUUUGAUCCUGCAUCAGCUUGCUGGUGAGAGACUCAGAUUUCCAGGUGGAGAUUGGAACUUUGUUGGGAAGCAAGCUGAAUCUCAUCGAAUCAGCACUUAGGGACAAGAGAAUACAAAAAGAGCCAUUGCAAAAUGCCAAAGAAGCACAAAGCUAAACUGCAUAGUGCCAAUCAAGCACAAGGUCAAAGAGACCAACCAAUUCAGAUGGAAUUGAUGAAAAUUUCAAGCCAAGACAAGAGGACUUGAACUUAUUUGGGGUUCAAGGUUGUGGUUGUUUAACAUAUGUUAAAGGCAGGUCUUCCUUGUCCCACAUUCUACCAAGUAUCUCAAAUUUGGUUCCUACCUGGCUCCUAUAAUCUAGUCCCUUUUCUGUCUUUCAUGGUGUGGCAAACUUUCUAGAGUCCUGGCUACUGAUUGAGUAAAUGCACAAUUGCUUAAA